UCGUGAUUUGUUCCAGACACAAGGAAUUCUCACUGUAUCCGAUUCAAGGCAGAUGAGAGAGGAAGCAACUCGCUGCUGCAUCAUGUGCACAUUGCUGCUCCUACAACAGCAUUUUUCUCACAUUUUCUAUGCAUGAGCCAAAUUGUUUCCAGAAUCAAAAUAGAAUAGAUAAGAAGUCAACCAGAAGCUUAACUGGAAAAAAAUAAUUGAAUGGCAUACUUUUAUUAUUUCAACAACCCAUUGCAUCUUUCUAGUUCCUCCAUCUUAGUAUUUGAGCUGUAGCAAUGAGUCCAAAACCGGGUUUGCCCCUCAAAAAGUUAGGUGCCUCUUCCCGGUGUGCAAAUCUCAAACUGCCACAAAAGAACUCUGAAUCUAGAAAAUAACAGAACUACUAACCAAACGGAACCUUCAUUUAUGGCUGCAAGGAACGACAAUAAUUGUUUCUCCUCCUAGUAAUCUUGUUCUCU
rnacentral:lncRNA from 1 species